rnacentral:lncRNA from 1 species
AUGAAGGAAGAAAACAUGAAAAGAAGCUGAAGUUUGGCUGGGAAGGUGGAGAAGGAAUCAGAUGGGUGCCAACAGGCCAUAUUCACCUUGUCCAUGGGAGGGAGACAGAGCAGACCCUUGAAACAAAGGAGAAGACCCAAGAAACAUUGAAUGGUUCUGUUGCUGACUGUGCCCACCACUGAAAGAGCAUGGAAGCUGUGGCAUUUGACUCAUGGACAUCAAAAAUUGUUGGACAUCAAAACCCUAAAGAAUCAUUGGAUUCUCUGAGACAUGAUAAGAUUGUUGUAGGACUUCAAAACCCUCAGGAAUCAUUGGAUUCUCUGAGAUAUGAUAAGACUGUUGUAGGACUUGAAAACUCUCAGGAAUCAUUGGAUUUUCUGAGACAUGAUAAGACUGUUGCAGGACUUCAAAAUCUGCUGGGAUCAUCGGAUUCCCUAACACAUAAAAAGACUUGCAGAACUUCAAAAAUUUGUGGGGAUUAUUGGAUUCCCUGACAAAUGAAGAAAUGGACAAUAGAUUGGUUUUGGACUAUUUCUUGACUGCUGAAGAAGGCAUAUGUGUGACUGUUGUUUACAUACCCUCCUUCUAGGACUUCUGGAAAUCCCUUAUAAUACCAUAUUGAUUUAUAUUGUUUGUUAUAUCACUACUCACAUAUACAAUUCAUGUUUGUUGUACCACAUUGAGCCUGUACUGAGUGUGGGGAGAGUCAUCACUAAUAGCCUGUGAGUUAUAGCUAUGUGCUCAUGUAAUACCUCCCAUGCUGAUGGGUUUCUGUGUACCUGUUUCUAAUAAGACUCUUCAGCCCAGAAACCCGCUAGCAAUCCCCACUUCCUUUGGUGCUUUUCAUCUCCUUUCCUGAGAUGUCAGGGAGGGUGUGAUCACCUCCUUUUUGGUGUUUUCACCUCUUUUUUGAGAAGUCAGGGAGGGCAUGAUCAACUCCUUUUGGGGGCUCUCACUAUCCUGAGAAGUCAAGGAUGCCUUGACUACCUGUGUUCUAAAACAAAAGAAAGUGGGAAAUGUAGAGGGCUGAAACUAUUGGGUUGAUCCACUGAGAUCAGGACUGCUGAGCACUUGAGGCUAACUACUGAUUGGACAGUACUCUAUGAAUAUAUGCUUGGAAAAUGGUCCUUUCCACUAUCUAUACUGGCUCAGUGAUUGGUGUAUAGAGGAUUGUAGGAGGGACUAAGGGGUGGAAUAAAAUGAGCAAGGGACACACUCUUGGCGGUAGACGUGGAGGAAGGCAGUCCCACAAAAUCUGCUUCCAUCCUG